rnacentral:rRNA from 1 species
CACGUAGGUGGCAAGCGUUAUCCGGAAUUACUGGGCGUAAAGGGUCCGCAGGUGGGAUGGUAAGUCUGAUGUGACAGCGCCCGGCUCAACUGGGCGUGGCCAUUGGAAACUGCCGUUCUUGAGUCACGAAGAGGGGUGCGGAAUUCCGGGUGUAGUGGUGGAAUGCGUAGAGAUCCGGAGGAACACCAAAGGCGCAAGCAGCACCCUGGGCGAGGACUGACACUGAGGGACGAAAGCAUGGGGAGCAAACAGG